GGGCUCUAGCUGCAGUCUGGCUCCACUGGUCUGGUGUAGAACAGGCUCUCUGGAGGCGGUUUGUAACUGUGGUCACAAAAAUCAAUGUUCUGGGAGAACGGGAAGCAGCUCCAUUUUUUUGAGGACCCUUUACACAGCUCAAGGUCUGGGUCCCAGGGUCCACCUUCAUGUUCCAACAAUGAGUUUGUUCACAGGGGUGUGUGUGUGUGUGCGG